UUCCUACGGGGGGCAGCAGUGGGGAAUCUUGCGCAAUGGGCGAAAGCCUGACGCAGCGACGCCGCGUGUGGGAUGACGGCCUUCGGGUUGUAAACCACUGUCGGGAGGGACGAAGCUCUGACGGUACCUCCAAAGGAAGCACCGGCUAACUCUGUGCCAGCAGCCGCGGUAAUACAGAGGGUGCGAGCGUUGUCCGGAAUCACUGGGCGUAAAGGGCGCGUAGGCGGCCUGAUAAGUAGGGGGUGAAAUCCUGCGGCUUAACCGCAGGGCUGCCUUCUAGACUGUCAGGCGUGAGCACAGUAGAGGCAGGUGGAAUUCCCGGUGUAGCGGUGGAAUGCGUAGAGAUCGGGAAGAACAUCGGUGGCGAAGGCGGCCUGCUGGGCUGUUGCUGACGCUGAGGCGCGACAGCGUGGGGAGCAAACAGGAUUAGAUACCCUAGUAGUC
rnacentral:rRNA from 1 species